ensembl:lncRNA
CUCUGGCUGCAGCCAGAGAUCCAGGUCUGGUUCUUACUAGUCCUAAAGGCCCAGGCUCUGUGGCCCUGUGUUCUGCAGGUAUUGGGAGAUCCACAGCUAAGACACCGGGACCUCCUGGAAGCCAAAAAUGACAUAUCAUUUACAAUGUGCUAGAGCAGCCUCUAUGAGGGGAUGUCUCCUUCAUUUGUACUCCACUUGCUGUAACACCAAAGGAUGCAGAGCCAGGUGGAUCCUACCUAGAAUCUGCAGAUAACGUCUGGCCUCUGCCUGGGAUUUAUAAAAAAGGACUGGACUUUGGAUAGAGAAUGUACAGAAAACUAAGAAAAGACAUUUUCUGCAUUGUGCGAUGUCAACCUAGACAGCUUACAGCUCCCAUUUGGGACUGUGGCUCUGUGAGAUUUUUCACAUCUUGUUCAUUGACCUGCUACAGUGAUGUGAGAGCCUCCAGGAGGAAAUAGAAUCUGAUGACAGAAUAUGUGUAAGUGUAAAAAAAAAAGCAUCUUGUGAGUGAGAGAACAAGGCCACAAAGGAUCCAGAGCUAUGACCACAACUGUAUUUACCUGUAAAAUGUGAUACUGGAGUAGAGUAUUUGUGUUCUUUCUCUUACACAAGAGCUAGCAAGUCAGGACAGGUGAUCCAGGUUCUGGAGCUCCACCAAGGCAGUUCUAUUUCCUAUUUAGAAUCAGCCUGAGUCUCUCCAGCCUGGCUUGUCAUUGGGCCAUCAGCCCCAGGUCACUGGGAAUUCUCUCACAAUCAUCUAGUGGUCUUUGAGGGAUUUGAGGAUGUCCAGAGCAGAAUUGUGUCAGGCUGACAAGAGUGGUUAAUUCUGCUUCUUUCUCAGAAAGAAAAGAAAAGUGUAAGAGAAAUGAAUCAUCCUGUUUGUUCAUCCCCUCAUACAAGAGGUGUCUUUGGUUGCUACUCAAAUGAGAGUUUUUCCAGUUUCCUGGUACUGGGAUGAUAAACAAGGAGGAGAUCUGGAGACCCAAAUACAUAAACUAGUAGCUUCCAUUUCAUAUGGCCGUUAAAAUAAAACAUGAAGCAGCCAUGGUUCCUAUAAUCCAGAAACUUUUAGUCUAGACUAGCAACUAGAUGAAUACUUGAAUUAUGCAUCAUAUGGUUGGUAUAACAAAUAGAUAUGUCCAAAAUAUUGGGCAUUAUUUGCCACUUUAUAUUGUUGUGACUUCUGAUGUCUAUACUUGAAAGGAUAUCUAUGAACAGAAGAAUUGUUGUUAUAAUUUCGUUUUUUUUUUUUUGAUAUGGAAUCUCCCUCUGUCACCCACGCUGGAGUUCAGUGGCACAAUCUCGACUCACCACAAACUCUGACAUUUGGGUUCAAGUGAUUCUCCUGCCUCAGCCUCCCAAGUAGCUGGGAUUACAGGUGCCUGCCACUACACCCAGCUAAUUUUUGUAAUUUUAGUAGAGACGGGGUUUCAAAAUCUUGGUUAGUCUGGUCUUGAACUCCUGACCUCGUGAUCCACCUACCUCAGCUUCCCAAAGUGUUGAGAUUACGGGCAUGAGCCACCAGGCCCAGCCGUAUUUCUAUUUCUUUCAUCCUGUUACGUGUACAUAUUUGUUUCCUAAUAAACUUACCCUAGAAAACCUUAAGGGAUUUGUUUAAAUUUCAUAUUAGCACAUAAUCUAAAGUUGACAGGGCAGUGGCUAGAAAAGGUUAAAAUUAUACAGACUCUGGGAUUUAAGUUUCUUUUAGGUAAGUUUUGAAAAAACAAAACUGGAAAUACCCCAGUGGCAUAGAGAACAGAAUUCUACAUAGGAUCCACUUCCUGUCCCAGUUCACUUGAGAUUCACCCUUUUGGAGGCCUAAUUUAGGUCUGAUCCUACCCUGGAGUCUUGUCUCACAGAACUGUGUAGAAGAGGUCAGAGUUUUGGCUGGUGAAUCCUGUUGUCUUUCUAGAGCUGGUGCUUACAAUUUCCUGAAAUCCAAAAGCAGAUAAAUAGGAAAAGUAAAUUAUGUGUUAUAGGGUCUUAGUUUUUAAAUUUUAUAUUAAAACUAGUGUUUGCAGAGACAUUCUAUUUAGGAACUUGUUUUCCAUUCCUGCAGAUCCAGUAAUUGCUCCACAAGUUACAAAAAUGUAAAUAUAAACAGAAUAAAAUUUUCUCUGGACUAC